GACGAACGCUGGCGGCGUGCUUAACACAUGCAAGUCGAGCGAUGAAGCACCUUCGGGUGUGGAUUAGCGGCGAACGGGUGAGGAACACGUGAGGAAUCUGCCUUUCACUUCGGGAUAACUCCGGGAAACCGGGGCUAAUACCGGAUAUUUUCAACUGGCGGCAUCGCCGGUUGAAGAAAGUUUUUCGGUGAAAGAUGACCUCGCGGCCUAUCAGCUUGUUGGUGAGGUAAUGGCUCACCAAGGCGACGACGGGUAGCCGGCCUGAGAGGGAGACCGGCCAAACUGAGACUGCGACACGGACCAGACUCCUACGGGAGGCAGCAGUGGGGAAUAUUGGGCAAUGGAGGAAACUCUGACCCAGCGACGCCGCGUGAGGGAUGAAGGCCUUCGGGUUGUAAACCUCUUUCAGCAGGGAAUAAGCGAAAGUGAAGGUACCUGCAGAAGAAGCACCGGCUAACUAUGUGCCAGCCGCCGCCGUAA
rnacentral:rRNA from 1 species